rnacentral:rRNA from 1 species
GAUGUUGGCUUAGAAGCAGCCAUGCAUUUAAAGAGUGCGUAACAGCUCACUGGUCGAGUGGACAUGCGCCGACAAUUCACGGGGCUAAGCGAUGCACCGAAGCGGCGGACUGAGAAUUCAGUGGUAGGGGAGCUCUCCGCGGGGGGCGAAGCAGCAGGGCGACCUGCUGUGGACCGCGCGGAGGUGAGAAUGCUGGCAUGAGUAACGAGACCAGGGCGAGAAACCCUGGCGCCGUGAGCCUAAGGGUUCCUGGGCGAGGCUAAUCCCCCCAGGGUCAGUCGGGAGCUAAGGCGAGGCCGAGAGGCGUAGCCGAUGCGCAGCGGGCAGACAUUCCCGCACCGCCGACGGCGCGGCAUUACCGAUGGGGCGACGGAGAAGGGUAGCCGGGCGGGGUUCUGGACGUCCCCGUGAAAGCGCGUAGGGCGCGCAGCGUGGAAAUCAGCUGCGCACGGGGCCCGAGACGCGAGACGAAGCGAGCGAGCGAAGCCGGUGAGCCCAUGCUUCCGAGAAAAACCUCUAGGGAGUGCCGUCGGCGCCCGUACCAAAACCGACACAGGUGGGCGGGUAGAACAUACCGAGGCGAUCGGGAGAACCACGGUUAAGGAACUCGGCAUACUGGCCCCGUAACUUCGGGAGAAGGGGCGCCGCCGGCUGUGAACGCCCUCGCGGCGGGAGCGGCUGGCGGCCGCAGCGAAACGGCCCAAGCGACUGUUUAUCAAAAACACAGGACUCUGCAAAGCGGCAACGCGACGUAUAGGGUCUGACGCCUGCCCGGUGCCGGAAGGUUACGCGGAUGCGUCAGCCGAAAGGCGAAGCGCUGAAGCCAAGCCCCGGUAAACGGCGGCCGUAACUAUAACGGUCCUAAGGUAGCGAAAUUCCUUGUCGGGUAAGUUCCGACCUGCACGAAUGGCGUAACGAUUUGGGCGCUGUCUCAACCGUGGACCCGGUGAAAUUGUACUGUUCGUGAAGAUGCGAACUACCCGCGGAAGGACGGAAAGACCCCGUGAACCUUUACUGCAGCUUGGCAUUGGCAUCUGGUACGGCGCGUAGAGGAUAGGCGGGAGCCUUUGAAGCGGGGGCGCAAGCCCCCGUGGAGGCGACCUUGGAAUACCGCCCUCGUCGUGCCGGCUGCCUAACGCGCGGCCGUGAUCCGGCGCGCGGACCGUGCCAGGCGGGUAGUUUGACUGGGGCGGUCGCCUCCCAAAACGUAACGGAGGCGCGCGAAAGGUCCGCUCAGGACGGUCGGCAACCGUCCCGAGAGCGCAAGAGUGCAAGCGGGCUUGACUGCGAGAGAGACACCUCGAGCAGGGACGAAAGUCGGUUCUAGUGAUCCGGCGGCACAGAGUGGAAUGGCCGUCGCUCAACGGAUAAAAGGUACUCCGGGGAUAACAGGCUGAUCUUGCCCAAGAGUCCACAUCGACGGCAAGGUUUGGCACCUCGAUGUCGGCUCAUCGCAUCCUGGGGCUGGAGCAGGUCCCAAGGGUACGGCUGUUCGCCGUUUAAAGCGGUACGCGAGCUGGGUUCAGAACGUCGUGAGACAGUUCGGUCCCUAUCCUCCGCGGGCGCAAGGGAGUUGAGGAGAUCUGCCCCUAGUACGAGAGGACCGGGGUGGACGGACCUCUGGUGACGCGGUUGUCGACCAACGGCACCGCCGCCUAGCUACGUCCGGCACGGAUAACCGCUGAAGGCAUCUAAGUGGGAAGCCGCCUCCGAGAUGAGCUCCCUUUCCGGUAAGGGCCCAGAUAGACUAUCUGGUCGAUAGGGCGCAGCUGCAAGCAGGGCGACCUGCUCAGGCGAGCGCUACUAAUAGCCCGAGCUCUUCUUC